UACGUAGGGGGCAAGCGUUGUCCGGAUUUAUUGGGCGUAAAGCGCGUGUAGGCGGCCACGCAGGUCCGUUGUGAAAACUGGAGGCUCAACCUCCAGCUGUCGACGGAAACCGUAUGGCUAGAGUCCGGAAGAGGAGAGUGGAAUUCCUGGUGUAGCGGUGAAAUGCGCAGAUAUCAGGAAGAACACCAAUGGCGAAGGCAGCUCUCUGGGACGGUACUGACGCUGAGACGCGAAAGCGUGGGGAGCGAACAGG
rnacentral:rRNA from 1 species